rnacentral:rRNA from 1 species
AAGUUUGGACAAUGGGGGAAACCCUGAUCCAGCCUUCCCGCGUGUAUGAGGAAGGCCCCCGGGUUGUAAAGUACUUUUGGCAGAGAAGAAAAGGUAUCCCCUAAUACGGGAGCCUGCUGACGGUACCUGCAGAAUAAGCAUCGUCUAACUACGGCCCAGCAGCCGCGGUAAUACGUAGGGUGCAAGCGUUAAUCGGAAUUACUGUGCGUAAGGCGUGUGUAGGCGGUUCGGAAAGAAAGAUGUGAAAUCCCAGGGCUCAACCUUGGAACUGCAUUUUUAACUGCCGAGCUAGAGUAUGUCAGAGGGGGGUAGAAUUCCACGUGUAGCAGUGAAAUGCGUAGAUAUGUGGAGGAAUACCGAUGGCGAAGGCAGCCCCCUGGGAUAAUACUGACGCUCAGACACGAAAGCGUGGGGAGCAAACAGG